rnacentral:rRNA from 1 species
CUGCUGCCUCCCGUAGGAGUUUGGGCCGUGUCUCAGUCCCAAUGUGGCCGUCCACCCUCUCAGGCCGGCUACUGAUCGUCGCCUUGGUGGGCCCCUACCCCGCCAACAAGCUAAUCAGACGCGGGUCCAUCUUACACCACCGGAGAUUUUCACACCGGGCCAUGCGGCCCUGUGCGCUUAUGCGGUAUUAGCACCUGUUUCCAGGUGUUAUCCCCCUGUGUAAGGCAGGUUACCCACGCGUUACUCACCCGUCCGCCACUCGAA